AGUGAACGCUGGCGGUAGGCCUAACACAUGCAAGUCGAACGGCAGCACAGUAAGAGCUUGCUCUUACGGGUGGCGAGUGGCGGACAGGUGAGGAAUACAUCGGAAUCUACUUUUUCGUGGGGGAUAACGUAGGGAAACUUACGCUAAUACCGCAUACGACCUACGGGUGAAAGCAGGGGAUCUUCGGACCUUGCGCGAUUGAAUGAGCCGAUGUCGGAUUAGCUAGUUGGCGGGGUAAAGGCCCACCAAGGCGACGAUCCGUAGCUGGUCUGAGAGGAUGAUCAGCCACACUGGAACUGAGACACGGUCCAGACUCCUACGGGAGGCAGCAGUGGGGAAUAUUGGACAAAGGGCGCAAGCCUGAUCCAGCCAUACCGCGUGGGUGGAGAAGGCCUUCGGGUUGUAAAGCCCUUUUGUUGGGAAAGAAAAGCAGCAGGUUAAUACCCCGCUGUUCUGACGGUACCCAAAGAAUAAGCACCGGCUAACUUCGUG
rnacentral:rRNA from 1 species